UCCUGCUUAUCACAGGCAGUUUCCUUAGAGUUCUCAACUGAAUGUUAGCAACUAAGGACGAGGGUUGCGCUCGUUGCGGGACUUAACCCAACAUCUCACGACACGAGCUGACGACAGCCAUGCAGCACCUGUGUGCACGCCACCCGAAGUGAAGAAAUCCAUCUCUGGAAAUCAAGCGUGCCAUGUCAAGGCCUGGUAAGGUUCUUCGCGUUGCCUCGAAUUGAACCACAUGCUCCGCUGCUUGUGCGGGUCCCCGUCAAUUCCUUUGAGUUUUAGCCUUGCGGCCGUACUCCCCAGGCGGGGCACUUAAUGCGUUAGCUUCGGCACAGGAGGAGUCGACACCUCCCACACCUAGUGCCCAUCGUUUACGGCGUGGACUAC
rnacentral:misc_RNA from 1 species